CUCUAUUUGCAUCAUAUUUCAUGAUAAUGGCUUAAUAAUUGGAUAAUAAUAAUUAAUAAUAAUGACUUCUCCAAGAAAAGAGCUAUUGCAAUAGAUGGACUACAAAAAGGUCAAAUCUAUUCUUGAAACAAAGGAGCCGAAGGCAAAACUCUAGCCGUGAGUCAACAGGAGAAAGAGCUCUGUUUCCAGGGCACCUUCAAGAGAGUUGAUCCAGGCCCAUGGCUGUGUCUACAUGUGUUCUGAAGUACCCUUAGGAUCACCAGAAUGGAGUUCACACAAUAACAUUUGCUUGUAAACAUGGUUAAUCAAACCGACUUUGGAAAUCCUGGGUUGACUGCGUGUACCUUCUGGAACAGGAUAUCUUCUUAUUGGUGUAACCGUCAUCUUCCAGGUGCCCUUUGGAAUUCUGGGAGAUGAAGUCCAACACAUUAGGAGGGUGCUGGGGUUCUCCUUCU